rnacentral:lncRNA from 1 species
AUGUUGCUUCGUUUGUUUUCAUGGCUGUGUUAUGUGAACUCUUACAUGUUCUAUGUACUGCCCGUGAUGAUGUUUAUCACUUCUGGGAGAGGGAUCAGGGUUAUAAUUUUGCUGUCCUGUGCUAUAUCAACUUAUGAUAUGAUGGCAUCUCUGUUCAGAUGGUUUUGUUGGGGCGUUUAUUCAGCACUGCUUUCCUGCCCAUAUCUCGGGGAAUUUAUUGAUAAACACACUGAAUCUAUGAGGGAAGCAGGGGGGGAUAUUUUCCCCAGCUCUUUCACCUCCUUUUUCUCUUUUGUGCUGGCUAUGCCAGUUUUUGAGAAUUUUGAAUACCCUUGGGACAUGCAAACCAGUUUGUUCUUACUGCUAGGUCUCCUGAAUGUGUUUCAGUUUUUGUUUAGGGUUAAGCAACUAUUUAAGACUACCACCAAGAGAUCUGCCCCGAGGCUGGAGAAUCAUGGGUGGCAUGGCAUGUGGGAGAACAUGGGCAGGUAUCUAGAGAGUUUUUCACCUCCAAUGGUCUGGGAUUUCACCACUGAACAAUUACAGGACCCUGAUAAAGUGAUAGAAUAUUUGAAAGGAAAAUGCUGUGGCUAUUCCAGAGAGGCACAGCUCACUGCAUUGUGCUGGGCCUUGGCCAGCAUCGGCCAAGCAUUGCUCAAUGUUGUGCAGCAUCCUCAGGGGGAAGAGAUGGAAACCAGGCCAACAGAUGCUGCUGCUGUUCCAACCCCUGCGACCAAUGCUGCGGCUGCUCCAACCCCUGCGACAGACACUGCGGCUGCCCCAACCCCUGCAACCAACGCUGCGGCUGCUCCAACCCCUGUGGUAGACACUGUGGCUGCUCCAACCCCUGCAACCAGUGCUGUGGCUGCUCCAACCCCUGCAGUAGACACUGUGGCUGCUCCAACCCCUGCAGUAGACACUGUGGCUGCUCCAACCCCUGCGACAGACACUGUGGCUGCUCCAACCCCUGCAGCAGGUGCUGUGGCUGCUGUAACCCCAGUGGCAGUCACUGCAACUGAACCAGAAAACCAGCCUGUGCCCGUAUCAGUCGCCUCUAUCCAGAAGAAGAAAUGCAACAAGAAAUCAGUUCGCUUAGUGAGGGAUGACAAUGAAGCAGGGUCAUCACGAGAACAAGAGGAAGAGGCAGAAUCAGAGAUAAUCACUCGAUCCCUGUCCCUGAGUGAGCUGCGGGACAUGCGGAAAGAUUUUGGCCGACUUCCAGGCGAGCACAUUGUCACCUGGCUGCUCCGGUGCUGGGAUAAUGGAGCCAGUAGCUUGGAAUUGGAGGCUAGGGAAGCCAGGCAGCUGGGAUCUCUGUCUAGAGAGGGGGGCAUUGACAAGGCCAUUGGGAAGAAGACACAGGUCCUCAGCCUGUGGAGGCGACUCCUAUCAGGUGUGAGGGAAAGGUACCCCUUCAGUGAAGAUGUUGUAUGCCAUCCAAGCGACCACCAUGGAGAGAGGUAUCCAGUACCUGAGAGAACUAGCCAUGCGGGAGAUGAUUUAUUGUGA